GUGGCUGGGGACAUCCGAUCAAAUUGAUACAAUACAGAGAAGAUUAGCAUGACCCUUACGCAAAGAUACACGCACAAAUUGAGAAAUGUAUCAAAAUCAA